rnacentral:SRP_RNA from 1 species
GCUGGGCAUGGUGGUGCACGCCUGUAAUCCCAGCUACUCAGGAGGCUGAGGCAGGAGAAUCGCUUGCACCCAGGAGGCAGAGGUUGCAGUGAGCCAAGAUCACGCCACUGCACUCCAACCUGAGUGACAGAGCGAGACCCUGUCUUAA